rnacentral:tRNA from 1 species
GCCGGUAGGGCUGCAAUGGCAGGGCAUUUUGAUAUAGUGUUAUUUAAAGUAUACUGCUUUCGCCGGUA